AAGGGUGCGUAGGCGGGCCUUCAAGUCUGAUGUGAAAUGGUAUGGCUUAACCAUGCUCUUGCGUUGGAAACUGUAGGUCUUGAAUGGGGUCGAGGAUGGCGGAAUGCGUGGUGUAGCGGUGAAAUGCUUAGAUAUCACGUGGAAGGCCGAUUGCGUAAGCAGCUGUCCAGACCCUGAUUGACGCUGAUGCACGAAAGCGUGGGGAUCGAACGGGAUUAGAUACCCCGGUAGUCCACGCCGUAAAC
rnacentral:rRNA from 1 species